rnacentral:rRNA from 1 species
GACGAACGCUGGCGGCGCGCUUAACACAUGCAAGUCGAACGGAAAGGCCUGCUUUCCCUUGUGGAUUGCGGGUACUCGAGUGGCGAACGGGUGAGUAACACGUGAGUGAUCUGCCCCCAACUUGGGUAUAAGCCUGGGAAACUGGGUCUAAUUCCCGAUAGGACUGCAGGGUGGUGCCUGUGGUGGAAAACGAUUUUCUAGUGGUUGGGGAUGAGCUCGCGGCCUAUCAGCUUGUUGGUGGGGUAAUGGCCUACCAAGGCGGCGACGGGUAGCCGGCCUGGGAGGGUGGACGGGCACAUUGGGACUGAGAUACGGCCCAGACUCCUACGGGAGGCAGCAGUGGGGAAUAUUGCACAAUGGGCGGAAGCCUGAUGCAGCGACGCCGCGUGGGGGAUGACGGCCUUCGGGUUGUAACCUCCUUUCGACCGCGAGGAAGCCGCCUGGUUGGAAGGGUGGUGACGGUAGUGGUAGAAGAAGCACCGGCUAACUACGUG